rnacentral:rRNA from 1 species
CCCUUAGAUGUUCUGGGAUGCACGCGCGUUACACUGAUUCGUUCAACGAGUUUAUGACCUUGCCUGAUGAGGUGGGGGAAUCUUUUCAAAUCACAUCGUGAUGGGGAUAGAGUAUUGUAACUGUUAGUCUUCAACGAGGAAUUCCUAGUAAGUACGUGUCAUCAGCUCGUACUGAUUAUGUCCCUGCCCUUUGUACACACCGCCCGUCGCUCCUACCGAUUGAGUGCUCAGGUGAAUAGUAUGGACUGCAUCAGUGUUCGGUCUCCGAAUGUUGACGCGAGAAAUUCUGUGAAUCUUAUUGCUUAGAGGAAGGAGAANUCGUANCA